UACGUAGGGAGCAAGCGUUGUUCGGAUUUACUGGGCGUAAAGGGUGCGUAGGCGGGCAGGUAAGUCCGUGGUGAAAUCUCUGAGCUUAACUCAGAAACUGCCAUGGAUACUAUUUGUCUUGAAUGUUGUGGAGGUAAGCGGAAUAUGUCAUGUAGCGGUGAAAUGCUUAGAUAUGACAUAGAACACCAAUUGCGAAGGCAGCUUACUACACAAAUAUUGACGCUGAGGCACGAAAGCGUGGGGAUCAAACAGG
rnacentral:rRNA from 1 species